GGCCGUUUAGCUCAGUCGGUUAGAGCGUACGCUUUACAACACCCUGACGCUCCUCAACGCCACCCUCUCCUCAUCCGAAGUGUGGCAUGGAUCUCGUUGCAAUCGCGUAAGGUCGGCGGUUCGACCCCGCCAACAGUCA